GACGAACGCUGGCGGCGUGCUUAACACAUGCAAGUCGAACGGAAAGGCCCUGCUUUUGUGGUGUUCUCGAGUGGCGAACGGGUGUGUAACACGUGAGUACCCUGCCCUUGACUUUGGUAUAACUUCAGGAAACUGGGGCUAAUACCGGAUAGGAGCUCCUGCUGCAUGGUGGGGGUUGGAAAUUUUCGGCGGUUGGGGAUUGACUCGCGGCUUAUCAGCUUGUUGGUUGGGUAGUGGCUUACCCAGGCUUUGACGGGUCGCCGGCCUGAGGGGUUGACCGGCAAGAUUGGUACUGGGAUACGGCCAGGAAUCGUACGGGGGGCAGAAGUGGGAAAUAUUGAAAAAUGGGCGGAAGCCGGAUGAAGCAGCGCGGCGGGCGGGAGGACGGCCUUCGGGUGUGAAACCGUUUUCGCCGGUAACGAAGUUUGAGUGACGGUACUGGGUGAAGAAGCACCGGCUAACUACGUG
rnacentral:rRNA from 1 species